AAAUUGAAGAGUUUGAUCAUGGCUCAGAUUGAACGCUGGCGGCAGGCCUAACACAUGCAAGUCGAACGGUAACAGGAAGCAGCUUGCUGCUUCGCUGACGAGUGGCGGACGGGUGAGUAAUGUCUGGGAAACUGCCUGAUGGAGGGGGAUAACUACUGGAAACGGUAGCUAAUACCGCAUAACGUCGCAAGACCAAAGAGGGGGACCUUCGGGCCUCUUGCCAUCGGAUGUGCCCAGAUGGGAUUAGCUUGUUGGUGGGGUAACGGCUCACCAAGGCGACGAUCCCUAGCUGGUCUGAGAGGAUGACCAGCCACACUGGAACUGAGACACGGUCCAGACUCCUACGGGAGGCAGCAGUGGGGAAUAUUGCACAAUGGGCGCAAGCC
rnacentral:rRNA from 1 species